AAAAAUCAAGAGCAGUGCAAAGCAGAUCCCUUUGAUGGCUGAAAUGGGUAUUUUCACUGCCACAGCUGAGCAGUGUCUCUGCACUCUGAUUUGUUUGCCAUCUCUCCGCUUCAGUUUCACAGGCAUGAUGGAACAGCCCAAAUUCCAGCUGAUCUGCAAACCUGUGCACUUCCCUCUGUAGCUGUAGUAGCAGUGUGGUGGUUUGCUUGUCUGUCCUUCUACCAGACUUACACAGAAUCUAUUGGGCAACCUUUAAAGGCAAAUUAUGUUUUCAUUCCAAGGAUUGCAAGGGGAUGUUAUGGAGAGAAUAUGGUUCCUAAGCAGCCCUGUUACCAAUAAGCAGCUACGAAAGUACAUUAGGAACUUAGAGAUAUUAAAUGCAACAGGAAGAAGAAAAAAAUUGAAUUACUGCGGUCUUUUCAACCAGAAUUUCAACUCCUGGUUUUGACAUUGCCAGCAGGCUACGGACACCAAAGGGAACUGUGCUUUCCAGGAGGCUCCUGGGGUUAGUGCCUACACCACUCAAAGCCAGGACUUUGCUUCAAACCUCAUCAGAUCUCCCUUUUGGGAUAAAAAGAGGGCUGCUCCAAGGCCAUGGAUCAAGGACUGAGCAAGUCCAGGUCUCAGUUUUGAAUGUUCCUGCUCAGGAUAUGCUAAAGAUUCCAGUUGCCCCUGGACCCACUAAGAAUGUGAGAGGGAAACAGAACAAUGAGGGGCUAUAAACCCAAGGGCCAGGACAUAAAGUUCAGGAUAUG